rnacentral:rRNA from 1 species
GAUGAACGCUGGCGGCGUGCCUAAUACAUGCAAGUCGAGCGAACAGACGAGAAGCUUGCUCCUCUGAUGUUAGCGGCGGACGGGUGAGUAACACGUGGAUAACCUACCUAUAAGACUGGGAUAACUUCGGGAAACCGUAGCUAAUACCGGAUAAUAUUUUGAACCGCAUGGUUCAAUAGUGAAAGACGGUCUUGCUGUCACUUAUAGAUGGAUCCGCGCUGCAUUAGCUAGUUGGUAAGGUAACGGCUUACCAAGGCAACGAUGCAUAGCCGACCUGAGAGGGUGAUCGGCCACACUGGAACUGAGACACGGUCCAGACUCCUACGGGAGGCAGCAGUAGGGAAUCUUCCGCAAUGGGCGAAAGCCUGACGGAGCAACGCCGCGUGAGUGAUGAAGGUCUUCGGAUCGUAAAACUCUGUUAUUAGGGAAGAACAAAUGUGUAAGUAACUGUGCACGUCUUGACGGUACCUAAUCAGAAAGCCACGGCUAACUACGUG